rnacentral:lncRNA from 10 species
AUCGGAGCAGGAGCUGGAGAUGCAGAUCUAGGAGCCGAGCUGCUCUUUGGAAAAGGGCACUUCAGUGGCCAGCUUGCUGCUUUGGGAGAGGCAGCAGUACAGAUUCUUCAAACCUUCACCAGGUGACCUCCCGACAGACAUGGAUCUUCACCACCAUCUCUUUCCAGCAUGCCUCACUGUGCUUUGCUACUUCUGGGUGUGUCUGCCUCCAAACCCACUCCUUGUCAAGCUAGGACUUACUUAAGUGGAUCUUUUCUUCUGCUGAUAUAUCCCUCUGGAUGCACCAUAAACACUGACAUUUCUCCAGAGCAGGAUGUUUUCGAAAAAAUAUUCUAGAUGAAUGCCAGGCCAAGCAGCACAAAAUGUCAUGGUGACUUUCCAAAAAGACCUGCCAGGAGCUAGGGUGAGUAAAAAUAGCCACAGCUUGGUGUGGAUGAACAGAAAGUAAAGAUCACAGAAAGAAGAGUUUAUUUGUUUUUAAAAUAAUUAUUUCUAAAUGGUUCUGGGCCUGAAGAAUGCGUCAGACUGGCAGGCAAGGAAGCAGAAGGUCUGCGUCUGACACCAGAGAGAGAAGGCAGAGGAGGGUGACAGAUGGGAAGGUGGGGGGCUGGAGCCUUGGAUUCCAGCCAAGUCAAAUACUACAUACAGCUUGGACUAUCUCUCUAGGAUUGUGAGCCUCAGUUUCUCUACCUGGAGUAGAGAAAAAGAAGAAAAAAUGUAGUUAGGGAAUGUUAUGCACAUGACUACAAACAGAAUGAAAAAGAAGCACUGAGAGACAAAGGCAGAUAGAGAAAUGGACAAAAAUGACUAGUGUUCUGUUAUGGAAAAAAUAAGAAACAUGGACAUUUCCAGGUUGCCCUAGCUCUGCUCUUCAUAGCUGUUCGGGUCCUAUUACUUUACCACCAUAAGAUAUCACAAGAGGCCAGGCAGGAUGUCCCACACCUGUAAUCUCAGCACUUUGGGAGGCUGAGGCGGGCAGAUCACGAGGUCAAGAUUUCAGGACCAUCCUGGCCAAUAUGGUGAAACCCCGUCUCUACUAAAAAUACAAAAAAAAAAAAAAUUGGCUGGGCGUGGUGGUGCACAUCUGUAGUCCCAGCUACUUAGGAGGCUGAGUCAGGAGAAUCACUUGAACCCGGAGGUGGAGGUUGCAGUGAGCCGAGAUUGCGUCACUGCACUCCAACCUGGUGACAGAGAGAGACUCCAUCUCAAAAACAAACAAACAAACAAACAAACAAACAAACAAAAAAAAACGAUAUCACAAGAGGUAUCCUGGAUGAGCAGAUAGAGUUGGAAUUACAGAACUCUUGGAGCCAGCCCUGGAGUCAUCACUUGCCAGAAACCCCCUGGGUGGGUUUCUUAACUUCUCUAAGCUUAGGUGGCCUUCAUCUGUAAAAUGGGAGACUUCCCACCCUCAGGCUUGUUGUAAGGGAUCAAUGAAUAAUAAAAGCAAGCAAUCGCCCAAGUCUCUGUUGCUUGGCAGGCACUAAAUAAAUGUCCAAAUAAAAAAUUCGACCAAUGAACUACCAGUGCCAGAGGCCCCAACUUCUCUGGGCUCUCAUUUUUGGGAAAGAAAAUCCUGCUUCUCAUUUAAACUGAUAACUGAGUUAAGUGGUUGUGUUCUCUUAAUUUUGUUAAAUGUGUAAACAAUGACUAGUCUGGCAAUGUUCGGUUCAGGUUGACAGCAUGGUCAGUAUGUGUGCAGCUGUAUUUUGGAAGAAAGAAAGCAGACAUUUUAUUGAACAUACGCUAUUUGCCAGGCCCUGAUUAGACAUUUUUAUAUAGGUUAUUCCAUUUAAUUCUUAGAACUAUCCUAUAACAUGAGAAUAUCUACCUUCCUUCCAUCUUUCUUUAAACAAGUAAUGUACCUAGAUAUGAGAAAGGUAAAUAAACUUGUCUAAAGACACAUAGCUUAGUUGCCAUUUUGCCUCCAGACUGUCUGACAGCAAAACCCAAGUUAUUUCCUCUCAAAGAAUAUUGCCUCCAUGAAACUAGACUUAAUAUAUGAUUGAAAGGUAGAAUUUAGCCAUAUUUUGCACUCAGCUUCCAAUCUGCCAUUCUUUCUCUCUCAGUGAGUGUCUGUGUGUGUGUGUGUCUUUUUUUAAAAAAACUGUAGUUUGUUUUUCCCAUGGAAAAUCUUGACUCAAUCCUAAA